rnacentral:tRNA from 1 species
CCUUCGAUAGCUCAGUUGGUAGAGCGGUGGACUGUAGAGAGCGAACAGUAACGAUAGUAAUCCAUAGGUCGCUGGUUCAAAUCCGGCUCGAAGGA